rnacentral:rRNA from 1 species
AGAGUUUGAUCCUGGCUCAGGAUGAAUGCUGGCGGCGUGCUUAACACAUGCAAGUCGAGCGGUAACAGGCUCACUAUUCACUGCAUACUCUUUGGCUAGGAUAUCGACAAAGUCGAUAUCCUGUAAAAAGGGAUGAAUGAAGUGAAGAGUGAGUGCUGACGAGCGGCGGACGGCUGAGUAACGCGUGGGAACAUGCCCCAAAGUGAGGAAUAAGCUCCAGAAAUGGAGUCUAAUGCCGCAUAUGAUCUUCGGAUUAAAGGAUUUAUCCGCUUUGGGAGUGGCCUGCGUACGAUUAGCUUGUUGGUGAGGUAAUGGCUUACCAAGGCAACGAUCGUUAGCUGGUCUGAGAGGAUGACCAGCCAGACUGGAACUGAGACACGGUCCAGACUCCUACGGGAGGCAGCAGUGAGGAAUCUUCCACAAUGGGCGAAAGCCUGAUGGAGCAACGCCGCGUGCAGGAUGAAGGCCUUCGGGUCGUAAACUGCUUUUAUAAGUGAAGAAUAUGACGGUAACUUAUGAAUAAGCACCGGCUAACUACGUGUCAGCAGCCGCGGUCAUACGUAGGGUGCAAGCAUUAUCCGGAGUGACUGGGCGUAAAGAGUUGCGUAGGUGGUUUGUUAAGUGAAUAGUGAAAUCUGGGGGCUCAACCUCACAGACUAUUAUUCAAACUGGCAGACUCGAGAAUGGUAGAGGUAACUGGAAUUUCUAGUGUAGGAGUGAAAUCCGUAGAUAUUAGAAGGAACACCAAUGGCGUAGGCAGGUUACUGGACCAUUUCUGACACUGAGGCACGAAAGCGUGGGGAGCGAACCGGAUUAGAUACCCGGGUAGUCCACGCCGUAAACUAUGGAUACUAGCUGUUGGGGGUAUCGACCCCCCCAGUAGCGAAGCUAACGCGUUAAGUAUCCCGCCUGUGGAGUACGGUCGCAAGACUAAAACUCAAAUGAAUUGACGG